GCGCGUGUGGCGGAAUUGGUAGACGCGCCAGAUUCAAAAUCUGGUUCUCGCAAGAGAGUGGGGGUUCGAUUCCCUUCACGCGCACCA
rnacentral:tRNA from 1 species